rnacentral:rRNA from 1 species
AAAAGUCGUAACAAGGUUUCCGUAGGUGAACCUGCGGAAGGAUCAUUAUUGAAAUAAACCUGAUGGGUUGUUGCUGGUUCUCUAGGGAGCAUGUGCACACCUUGUCAUCUUUAUAUCUCCACCUGUGCACUUUUUGUAGACCUUUCAGGUCUAUGUUGCUUCAUUUACCCCAAUGUAUGUUAAUAGAAUGUUGUGCCUAUAUAAUAUAUACAACUUUCAGCAACGGAUCUCUUGGCUCUCGCAUCGAUGAAGAACGCAGCGAAAUGCGAUAAGUAAUGUGAAUUGCAGAAUUCAGUGAAUCAUCGAAUCUUUGAACGCACCUUGCGCUCCUUGGUAUUCCGAGGAGCAUGCCUGUUUGAGUGUCAUUAAUAUAUCAACCUUCUCUUGUUUGAGUUGUUUGGAUGUGGGGGUUUGCUGGACUCUUAAAUGAAUUCAGCUCCCCUGAAAUGCAUUAGCAGAACAAACCUGUUCAUUGGCGUGAUAAUUAUCUAUGCUAUUGAAUGUGAGGGCAGUUCAGCUUUCUAAUCGUCCUUGGACAAUUUAUCAUUAAUGUGACCUCAAAUCAGGUAGGACUACCCGCUGAACUUAAGCAUAUCAAUAAGCGGAGGAAAAGAAACUAACAAGGAUUCCCCUAGUAACUGCGAGUGAAGCGGGAAAAGCUCAAAUUUAAAAUC